GUCAGAUUGGCCGAGUGGUUAAGGCGCUAGAUUUAAUAUCGUGUGGGGGAGUGUGGGUUCGAAUCCCACAUCUGACA